CCUACGGGAGGCAGCAGUGAGGAAUAUUGGUCAAUGGACGAGAGUCUGAACCAGCCAAGUAGCGUGAAGGAUGACUGCCCUAUGGGUUGUAAACUUCUUUUAUAUGGGAAUAAAAUGUUCCACGUGUGGGAUUUUGUAUGUACCAUAUGAAUAAGGAUCGGCUAACGCCGUGCCAGCAGCCGCGGUAAUACGGAGGUUCCGAGCGUUAUCCGGAUUUAUUGGGUUUAACGGGAGCGUAGGUGGAUUGUUAAGUCAGUUGUGAAAGUCUGCGGCUCAACCGGAAAAGUGCAGUUGAAACUGGCAGUCUUGAGUGCAGUAGAGGUGGGCGGAAUUCGUGGUGUAGCGGUGAAAUGCUUAGAUAUCACGAAGAACUCCGAUUGCGAAGGCAGUUCACUGGACUGCAACUGACGCUGAGGCUCGAAAGUGUGGGUAUCAAACAGGAUUAGAUACCCCGGUAGUC
rnacentral:rRNA from 1 species